GUUUCUGUAGUGUAGUGGUUAUCACGUUCGCUUUACACGCGAAAGAUCCCUGGUUUGAAACCGUGCGGAAAGA